AGAAUUUGAUCUUGGUUCAGGAUGAACGCUAGCUACAGGCUUAACACAUGCAAGUCGAGGGGCAGCAUGAUCGAAGCUUGCUUUGAUUGAUGGCGACCGGCGCACGGGUGAGUAACGCGUAUCCAACCUUCCCUAUAGUAGAGAAUAGCCCGGCGAAAGUCGGAUUAAUGCUCUAUGUUGUAUUUAGAAGACAUCUGAAGAAUACCAAAGGUUUACCGCUAUAGGAUGGGGAUGCGUCUGAUUAGGUUGUUGGCGGGUAACGGCCCACCAAGCCCACGAUCAGUAGGGGUUCUGAGAGGAAGGUCCCCCACAUUGGAACUGAGACACGGUCCAAACUCCUACGGGAGGCAGCAGUGAGGAAUAUUGGUCAAUGGACGCAAGUCUGAACCAGCCAAGUAGCGUGCCAGGAUGACGGCCCUAUGGGUUGUAAACUGCUUUUAUACAGGGAUAAAGUGAGGGACGUGUCCCUUUUUGUAGGUACUGUAUGAAUAAGGACCGGCUAAUUCCGUGCCAGCAGCAGC
rnacentral:rRNA from 1 species